rnacentral:tRNA from 1 species
AUUGUAUUGGCAGAUUAGUGCAUUAAAUUUAGGAUUUAAUUAUUAAAAUUUUAAUUUAAUACAAUA